GAUGAACGCUGGCGGCGUGCCUAAUACAUGCAAGUCGAGCGAACAGAUGAUGAGCUUGCUCCUCUGACGUUAGCGGCUGACGGGUGAGUAACACGUGGAUCACCUACCUCUAUGACUGGGAUAACUUCGGGAAACCGGAGCUAAUACCGGCUCAUAUAUUGAACCGCAUGGUUCAAUAGUGAAAGACGGUUUUGCUGUCACUUAUAGCUGGAUCCGCGCCGCAUUAGCUAGUUGGUAAGGUAACGGCUUACCAAGGCAACGAUGCGUAGCCGACCUGAGAGGGUGAUCGGCCACACUGGAACUGAGACACGGUCCAGACUCCUACGGGAGGCAGCAGUAGGGAAUCUUCCGCAAUGGGCGAAAGCCUGACGGAGCAACGCCGCGUGAGUGAUGAAGGUCUUCGGAUCGUAAAACUCUGUUAUUAGGGAAGAAAAAAUGUGUAAGUAACUAUGCACGUCUUGACGGUACCUAAUCAGAAAGCCACGGCUAACUACGUG
rnacentral:rRNA from 1 species